UACGGAGGGAGCUAGCGUUGUUCGGAAUUACUGGGCGUAAAGCGCGCGUAGGCGGCUUUGUAAGUUAGAGGUGAAAGCCCGGGGCUCAACCCCGGAACUGCCUUUAAGACUGCAUCGCUUGAAUCCGGGAGAGGUGAGUGGAAUUCCGAGUGUAGAGGUGAAAUGCGUAGAUAUCGGGAGGAACAUCAGUGGCGAAGGCGGCUGCCUGGCCCAAUACUGACACUCAGGUGCGACAGCGUGGGGAGCAAACAGG
rnacentral:rRNA from 1 species